AUGCUAUAAAUACGACAUAUGGGUUGAUCGGAGAAACACACACGAACUCGAAAAAGAAACAUCUCACCUCUCUGUUUUGCCUUUACAACUAUCCGCACGUUGCCGGAGAUCGGCGAUCAAACCGGAGAGCAUCCACAUCACUCAUACAGCCCCCUCGCUGUUGGAAGGUCGCCGGAACCAUCGCCAGAAACUCUGCCGUAGUUCGGAGCAUUCGCCGGAGAUUCACGACGGGAGUACGUCGACUCGCCUUCGAAACCCACGGCUAAACGUUCGGAUAAUCGCUUGGUUUGAUCUCUUGGAUUGUUUCAAAUCCUUACUCGUACGGCCUUACAAGAAGCGCAACGCAAUCAAUGUGAGUAUACAUGACCCAUUUUCUAUUUUCCACUUUUGGGUUGAAUGAUCAAGAAAACAAGAAUCGAGCGAGGAUGGAAAUUAGAAACCCAUUUAGCAUUUUGAUUAUUGUUGAAUUUCAUGUUUGUUUAUUUGGAACUAUGUAUCCUUUCAAUUGA
rnacentral:lncRNA from 1 species